rnacentral:rRNA from 1 species
UAAUAAUUUAAUAAAAUAGCUGAAUAAUAAAAACAUAGUUUUAAACUCAAAAAUUUUGGCGGUAUUUUAUAUAAUUAGGGGAACCUGUUUCUUAAUAUGAUAAUCCACGACUUUCUACCCAUUUUAAGUAUAUCAGUCUGUGUACUGCUGUCUUAUAAACCUAUAAAAGAGUUUAUAUAAAUAAAAAUUUAAAAAAGUCAAGUCAAAGUGCAACUAAUAAAAUGGAGUACAAUGGGUUACAAUCUCUAACAAAGUAUGAAUAUUAUUAUUAAAUAUAAUAAUUGCAAGUGGACUUAAAAGUAAUAUAGUGAAAUCACUAUAUAAAUAAUUUCCUAAAAUAUGUACACAUCGCCCGUCGCUCUCGUCAAAAGACU